CUCUUGGACUCGCUUGCUAUUCCCGAAAAGGGGGAAAGGAUUUGGGGGGGACAAUCGCGGAGCCUCUCGCUGGCUUUAGGGAGAGAGGGCUGGGGUAGAGGAGAGCCCCAGGGAGCAGGCAGAGGUGUUCAAGAUGAAGGAGAAGGCUCUCAUUAACAUGGCCUCACAAGAGAACCAGACUUCAGGGAGAGGAGAGCAGAAGGAUAUUCUUUCUGGGAGCCCUGAGCCCAUCUAACCUCCAGUUCGUCCAUCAACUGAUUACUGCUCAGUCACCUCAGAUGAUACCACUGGGAGCCAGAGAACUGCCUAGCUGUGCCCUGCCUGAAUGUCUGACUCAUCACUCAUGGUGGAUGACCUUUUUCCUGAAGAAACUGCUGCAGAAUGAAAGCUCCAGGCGCUUGGGUGCAGCAAGUAGGCUAUGCAUUUCCCACCAGCAGGAAUCUAGCUCCUGGCCAAGGUGAGCCACGCAGAGCAGCAGCCACGGGUAUCAUCCUCCCAGGAGGCAGAUCCCAAUUCGCGGAGAAGACCCGGCCAGCGGGAGGAUGCCAGCCUCAUCCUCAAGGCUGGGAUUGGGACUCUUUCCAGAAGGAACGACCUCUGUGCUUGAGUUGGUUGGGGGGCGCAAUGGAUUCUUUAACACUGGGGAAAUUCAUACAGAUGAAAGUGAGAGACACAUGACAGUGAACUGUAAACAUCAGCCAGGUCUUAGAAACGCUGGGGGAGGGACACACAAACCUUGUGAGAAGAAAAAUAAGCUUUUGUGGAAGUGAGGUUUGGAGGCCAAGAGUCCUUUAAGCGUCUUAAAGGAUCCACUGUGCAUCCUUUGUUAGUGGUGGGUGUGCUUCCUCCAACACUAGCCUUUGGUUUACUUUUAUGUGCCACUGGAUUCUGUUGCUCCAGGGAUACCAGGCUCUUUAGAAGCCAUUCUAGCAGCUGGUCUCUGCUUGGGAAUGUACAAGUGUUGGCUCUGGGACAUGUAAUCGCCUGUGCCUCCUGAUGUGGUUUCCAAGCAUCCACUGAGGUUUCUUUCACUUUGGGGGAAAAGAUGAGAGGCCCUGUGCUUAAACAAUUUGGAAGCAGAAAUCCAAACACCAGGGACCUGAGUGCAGCAAGGGCAGGGUCCUGGGAGGGCCUCUCCAGAAACCGCUCUCCUUCUGGAGGGAGGAUGGGGUCAUCUUUGCUGAGCAGAAGGCAGCGAUGGUUUCCUUUUAGAUGCUGUGGGUGCCCCUGUCAGCAAGAACCCCAGUUGUGGCCUCAGGGGUGGGGAGGAGAGCUCUUUCAGUGUUGCCUUAGGUGUGUGUCUGUGUGUGUCCUAACCCAGUCCUUCCCACACUCCCCCACGUGCUGAUCACGACGAGCACCUCUAAGGCUGGGUCUUUGCAUUAGAAAGUUAUUUGUUAGGGGUACAGGGGGCAAAGAAGGCACCUGGCACUCAUCCUCACCUCCAACUCCCAUGCUUGGGCAGGAUGUCUUUGUCCCUGAGUGAGGUGACGAGCUUUGCUGGCCCCACAGUCUUACCUGCCUGGUCGGGUGAGCCAAGGGGGACCCUGUCCAUGAUGUCUGGGCCAAGAUGUCCCUGUUGGCGACCCUGGAGGGUCCUCUGUCCUGCUGCUGCUCCUGUGGUCACGUAGGGGGUCUGCUCCUCAUGGACCCACCACCCCCGUGUAGUUGUAAUGCAAGUGAGGGGUUCUAAUUUUGUCAGCUUUAUCUUAGUGAAAUAAAGGUUAAUAUCACAGAACCGAAAACAAAGCUUCUGCUCAUUACUAGGGAGUUUCAGCUACUCCCUUUCCGCAAAACAAUAAAUCCAAUCUUAACAUUUUCAGCUUUCUCAUGAUUCUCACUCUCCCUUCUCAG
rnacentral:lncRNA from 1 species